GUAGGUGGCAAGCGUUGUCCGGAAUUAUUGGGCGUAAAGCGCGCGCAGGGCGGUCCUUUAAGUCUGAUGUGAAAGCCCACGGCUCAACCGUGGAGGGUCAUUGGAAACUGGGGGACCUGAGUACAGAAGAGGAAAGCGGAAUUCCAAGUGUAGCGGUGAAAUGCGUAGAGAUUUGGAGGAACACCAGUGGCGAAGGCGGCUUUCUGGUCUGUAACUGACGCUGAGGCGCGAAAGCGUGGGGAGCAAACAGGAUUAGAUACCCUGGUAGUCCACGCCGUAAACGAUGAGUGCUAAGUGUUAGGGGGUUUCCGCCCCUUAGUGCUGCAGCUAACGCAUUAAGCACUCCGCCUGGGGAGUACGGCCGCAAGGCUG
rnacentral:rRNA from 1 species